rnacentral:tRNA from 4 species
GACUCCGUAGCUCAGCUGGUAGAGCAAUUGACUCUUAAUCAAUGGGUCGAGGGUUCGAGCCCCUCCGGGGUCACAA